AUUCCAGCUCCAAUAGUGUAUAUUAAAGUUGUUGCAGUUAAAAAGCUCGUAGUUGGAUUUCUGGCGGGAGCGAUCGGUCCUUCACUCGGUGUUGGAACCUGAUUGUCUCCUGCCAUCCAUGGAGAAAACUUAUCUGGCAUUAAGUUGUCGGGUAGGCAAUCUCCAUCUUUUACUGUGAAAAAAUUAGAGUGUUCAAAGCAGGCUUAUGCCGUUGAAUAUAUUAGCAUGGAAUAAUAAGAUAGGACUAUGUACUAUUUUGUUGGUUUGUGCACCAUGGUAAUGAUUAAUAGGGACAGUUGGGGGUAUUCGCAUUCCAUUGUCAGAGGUGAAAUUCUUGGAUUUAUGGAAGACGAACUACUGCGAAAGCAUUUACCAAGGAUGUUUUCAUUA
rnacentral:rRNA from 1 species